AAAGGGAGACCUAAUUCAGGUAUAAGACGAAAAAAAAGUAGUCCCUACCAAGAAUCAAUCCCAAAAGGUCGGAACGAGGUAUGAAGCUUUCAAACUAGGUUCUGGGUUCAUAAAAGACCUGAAUCAGGAACAAGGGCUAUUAGCUCAGGUGGUUAGAGCGCACCCCUGAUAAGGGUGAGGUCCCUGGUUCGAGUCCAGGAUGGCCCACCUGCACAGGUGGCAAAAACAAGAGAAGCGAGGAAUCAGCACCUUAUCUUAUAUACAUAUAUAAGAGAGAAUGCUGGCUCUGAGUACAGAGUCCAGAGGAACCUUGAAAACUGCAUAGAGCUAGGUGAAAAAGCCAAAAAAGAAGACCGCAAG
rnacentral:tRNA from 1 species